rnacentral:rRNA from 1 species
GACAGAGGUUGCAAACGUUGUUCGGAAUUACUGGGCAUAAAGCGCACGUAGGCGGUCCACUAAGUCAGGUGUGAAAUCCCCCGGCUCAACCGGGGAAUUGCGCCUGAUACUGGUGGGCUCGAGGUCGAUAGGGGUGAGCGGAACUCCAGGUGGAGCGGUGAAAUGCGUAGAUAUCUGGAGGAACACCGGUGGCGAAAGCGGCUCACUGGAUCGAAACUGACGCUGAGGUGCGAAAGCUAGGGUAGCAAACGGG